GACGAACGCUAGCGGCAGGCCUAACACAUGCAAGUCGAGGGGCAGCACGGGGGAGUAAUCUCCUGGCGGCGACCGGCGGACGGGUGCGUAACGCGUAUGCAACCUGCCUCAAACUUGGGGAUAAUCUGGAGAAAUCCGGUCUAAUACCCGAUAACAUCACCCGGGGCAUCCUGGGUGGUUGAAAGCUCCGGCGGUUUGAGAUGGGCAUGCGUUGUAUUAGUUAGUUGGUGAGGUAACGGCUCACCAAGACUACGAUACAUAGGGGGACUGGGAGGUUAACCCCCCACACUGGUACUGAGACACGGACCAGACUCCUACGGGAGGCAGCAGUGAGGAAUAUUGGUCAAUGGGCGCAAGCCUGAACCAGCCAUGCCGCGUGCAGGAUGACGGCGCUAUGCGUUGUAAACUGCUUUUAUACGAGGGUAAACCCCGAUACGUGUAUCGGGCUGAAAGUAUCGUAUGAAUAAGGAUCGGCUAACUCCGUGCCAGCCGCCGCCGUAAAAC
rnacentral:rRNA from 1 species